CACAAAUUAACAAUUUAUUAAUCACAACGCUCAAAAUGAUUGGUCACAAACACUCUUCCCUUCCUCACAUCCCGACCCCACCGUCGUAAGCACCACUUCCUAGACCGCCACCACCUCGCCAACAUCACCCACAACAUUGCCACACAAUGCACAAUCAUGCCCAUAGCACACGCCAUCGUCGCGCAAUGCACCCACAGCACACCACCACUGCAUCAAAAAUAACAAAUAAAAUUCACCCUAAAAUACCAACUAUAUCAACUAAGUAAGGAGGACGAGGAAACCACCCCAAAACCACGGCUAGCAUUGUUGUCGUUGUUUCGUAUACAGUCGCGAUCAAGUGCCUCUGCACACGAACUACAAUGGAACCAGGAGCUUGCAACUCCUGUCGUCUGGAGCAAGG
rnacentral:lncRNA from 1 species